UAGGGAAUCUUCCGCAAUGGGCGAAAGCCUGACGGAGCAACGCCGCGUGAGUGAUGAAGGUCUUCGGAUCGUAAAACUCUGUUAUUAGGGAAGAACAAAUGUGUAAGUAACUAUGCACGUCUUGACGGUACCUAAUCAGAAAGCCACGGCUAACUACGUGCCAGCAGCCGCGGUAAUACGUAGGUGGCAAGCGUUAUCCGGAAUUAUUGGGCGUAAAGCGCGCGUAGGCGGUUUUUUAAGUCUGAUGUGAAAGCCCACGGCUCAACCGUGGAGGGUCAUUGGAAACUGGAAAACUUGGGUGCAGAAGAGGAAAGUGGAAUUCCAUGUGUAGCGGUGAAAUGCGCAGGGAUAUGGAGGAACACCAGUGGCGAAGGCGACUUUCUGGUCUGUAACUGACGCUGGUGUGCGAAAGCGUGGGGAUCAAACAGG
rnacentral:rRNA from 1 species